UACGUAGGUGGCAAGCGUUGUCCGGAUUUAUUGGGUUUAAAGGGUGCGUAGGCGGUGUCCUAAGUCAGUUGUGAAAUACGGCAGCUUAAACUGUCGAGGUGCAAUUGAUACUGGGACACUUGAGUACUGAUGAGGUAUGCGGAAUGGACGGUGUAGCGGUGAAAUGCUUAGAUAUCGAUCCAGAACACCGAUAGCGAAGGCAGCAUACUAAGGAGUAACUGACGCUGAGGCACGAAAGUGUGGGAUCA
rnacentral:rRNA from 1 species